rnacentral:rRNA from 1 species
CAGUCGCCGCGGUAAUACGAAGGGUGCAAGCGUUACUCGGAAUUACUGGGCGUAAAGCGCGCGUAGGUGGUGGUUUAAGUCCGUUGUGAAAGCCCUGGGCUCAACCUGGGAAUUGCAGUGGAUACUGGGUCACUAGAGUGUGGUAGAGGAUAGUGGAAUUUCCGGUGUAGCAGUGAAAUGCGUAGAGAUCGGAAGGAACAUCUGUGGCGAAGGCGACUAUCUGGGCCAACACUGACACUGAGGCACGAAAGCGUGGGGAGCAAACAGGAUUAGAUACCCCUGUAGUCCCUGUCUCUUAUAC